rnacentral:rRNA from 1 species
GGCCAGACUCCUACGGGAGGCAGCAGUGAGGAAUAUUGGUCAAUGGGCUUACGCCUGAACCAGCCAAGUCGCGUGAGGGAAGACUGCCCUAUGGGUUGUAAACCUCUUUUGUCAGGGAGCAAUUGGCGCUACGUGUAGCGUUAUCGAGAGUACCUGAAGAAAAAGCAUCGGCUAACUCCGUGCCAGCAGCCGCGGUAAUACGGAGGAUGCGAGCGUUAUCCGGAUUUAUUGGGUUUAAAGGGUGCGUAGGCGGAAUGCCAAGUCAGCGGUAAAAUCGCGGGGCUCAACCUCGCUCCGCCGUUGAAACUGGCGGCCUCGAGUGGGCGAGAAGUAUGCGGAAUGCGUGGUGUAGCGGUGAAAUGCAUAGAUAUCACGCAGAACUCCGAUUGCGAAGGCAGCAUACCGGCGCCCGACUGACGCUGAGGCACGAAAGCGUGGGUAUCGAACAGGAUUAGAUACCCUAGUACCC